UCAUGCACUCGUAAUCUGUUUCUGUUUCUGACACCCACAUGCUUUAAUUAGUAUAUGAGAUGUCACAUGCACUGUCAUCCAUAGAGAAUGAUCCUCUCAUGUCUUUUUAGAUCAAAUGGGGGAGCAACAAAAACUCCUCAAAGAUAAAAAGUCUAACGAAUCAUAUCAUUUAUUAACCAUGUAUGCCAAUAUCGAUAAAUAUUUCUCAUGUUUAC
rnacentral:lncRNA from 1 species